rnacentral:rRNA from 1 species
CCUACGGGUGGCAGCAGUGAGGAAUAUUGGUCAAUGGGCGCAAGCCUGAACCAGCCAAGUCGCGUGAGGGAUGACGGUCCUAUGGAUUGUAAACCUCUUUUGUCGGGGAGCAAGGCCCGCCACGUGUGGCAGGAAGGAGAGUACCCGAAGAAAAAGCAUCGGCUAACUCCGUGCCAGCAGCCGCGGUAAUACGGAGGAUGCGAGCGUUAUCCGGAUUUAUUGGGUUAAAAGGGUGCGCAGGCGGAAUGUCAAGUCAGCGGUAAAAUUUCGGGGCUCAACCCCGUCGUGCCGUUGAAACUGGCGUUCUUGAGUGAGCGAGAAGUAUGCGGAAUGCGUGGUGUAGCGGUGAAAUGCAUAGAUAUCACGCAGAACUCCGAUUGCGAAGGCAGCAUACCGGCGCUCAACUGACGCUCAUGCACGAAAGCGUGGGUAUCGAACAGGAUUAGAUACCCCUGUAGUC